GUCUCAGGCCGUAUCAGCCUGAAGGCGCCCGAUCUCGUCGGAUCUCGGAAGCUAAGCAGGGUCGGGCCUGGUUUAGUAUCUUGGAUGGGGAACCACCUGGGGAAUCCCGGGUGCUCGAGGCU
rnacentral:rRNA from 1 species